AGAAAUCUUGAGUGUGUGGCACUGAUUCUGAGCAGGGAGCAAGUUCCUGUCUUUGAGUUAGAUCAGGAAUAGAAUGUUAGUUGUGAGGUUAAUACAGAGAAGCAAAAGGCAUAACGAUAGAUUGUUCUGGAAAACAGGAAUGGAGGAUUACAAUACUGAAGGGGAAAUGGUGCUUAGGACAAUGUCAGAGCUGUGGCAGAAGUGACUGACACUAGUGAAAUACUGGAGGAGGGAGGGAGAGAAGGAUCCCUCUGAGGAAUAUGUCUGCCCAGAUUCAGAGGGCCAGGAGAGAAGCAAGUAUUGAUGCUGGGGGAAAAAAAGGAGCAGGGAAAAAUUAUUCUGGAGAUGACAUGUCUGUUGGGAGGAAAAGAUAGGAUGGAGAAAAACAUGGCAUAGAAAAUAUGAAGUAAAAGUUUUACUUUUGUAUCUGUCCCCAUCAGUAAACAAAGGUGCAGCUAUGUUAAGACCUUAAAGCUUCCCUGGAAUGUGAGAAACCACUCCAGAAAGAAAAAGGGCUUAAGCAGCUUUGUUUCCAAACAAAAGCAGAUUUCUUCUUUACAUACAGGUGCUGCUAAUUCUUUGUUGUAAAUUUGCUUAAAGUAGGUAUGGUUUGUGGCCAGAUGUGACACUAUGUAUUAUAUUUUCUAUGGAUUUGCUUGUGGGUAACAAAUAGCUAUAGGAUCUGAGCAAUUCUGGUCUAGAUACUUUUUUGGAUUUGAAUGGUAGAAGAGAUGCUAACUGUUAAGUCCUGUCAAGGACUAACAUAAAACACUGUAAGACUGUUAAAUCAUAAAAUCACAGAAUGGUUUGGAGUGGAAGGGACCCUCAAACAUCAUCUCCUUCCAUCCACCCUUCUACUAGCCCAGGUUCCUCAGAGCCCCAUUCAACCUGGCCUUGGACACUUCCAGGGAUGGGAAUUGCUCCAAGGCUGCUGUCAGCUGUACCCCUUGGCUGCUGCAAGGAAAAUAAGGACAGAUAAAGCCAAACGACUAAAAGAUGUGACUAUUUGUGUUGUAACAGAGCACCAUUGGAAUAUGGGGAUUUCUACUGGGAAACAGCCUGUUAAGAGUUUAAGAAAAUAAGUGUUUGGCUAAGGGGAAGGAUGUAGCAGUGAAGUCCUGAGGAAGGCUGUAUUCUGUUAUCCACAAGGUAAUUUUGCCAGAAGAAAGAUUUUUAGACUUACUUUGGAAAACUGGAGCUAGCCUGCCUCAGGAAUGGAGGGAAUCUCCAGCUAGCUGCUUGAUCAGCUCUGUGGGAAGGUGUAUCAGGGCAGGGAGAGCCUGGUUUUACCGUGGACAGAGUUUAUUGCUGGGAAACAUCUUUCUCCUUUACAAUGGAACUGGGAAUGUCGUCUGUGGUACAGCAUGCUGUCAUUUUAGAGCAGCCCUGACAUAUGAGCACCAUAAUUGAGUACAAGGAAAAAAUUACAGUGAGCCCAUGAAGUGGGGAAAGGGUGUGGGAAGCAGCUGGCUACAGGGGAAAGAGAGGGGCAGGCCUGACACAUUGGGAUGGUUGGAAUAAAUUCUAUCCUCUUGUACACUUCAAAAUCUUAAAUCCCUAUGUUUCAGCGAUUAACAGUCUUACUCAUAGAGGGUGUAGAGAUGUGUUGCAGAAGGGGAGGAUGUCAUUACCUGCAGGGUGAUUUCCAGAAGAGCUCCUAAAGAAAAGCUUGGAUUUAUAUGACACGCUCUCUAAGUCAUGACUAUACUGCUCCCUCUCUACCCACCAAGAGAAAAAAAUAGCAAGUGCUUGCAGACAGUUUUUUAGGAACUCCCUGUACCUCUCCGCUAUUUUUCUUCAGAUGAAUUUCCAAGCCCAAGCAAACCUUGCAGAAGCUAGGCUCAGAGCAGUUGUCCUGGAGGGAGAAAAAAAACAGUGGGGCCUAAAAUGGCAGUGAUAAGUAUGAGUCAGACGCUGUUUCAAUGGGGGGUGUGCCAUGAAGUUCAGGCUGAGCCCCGCCCUCUUCUCUUGCAGGCACUUGCACGUCUCUGCAGGGAGCUGCCCAGCUAGCCUCCAUCUGCAGGCUGUGAUUAACGCACUGCCAAGGCUCCCUCCGACUGCUCCAGCAUCUUUUUCAUCCUGAACUGCCUGAGAGAGAUCUGGGAGUCCCAUAAGGGAUGUCCCAGGGGUACCAGUGCCUGCUGUCCCUGGGUGAGAGAUGCUGUUCCAGCUGCAGAGUGCAAGCACAGCCCAAGCUGGGCAGGGUCAGCCAUGAAGUCAGAGCAGGUUACUCAGGCCUGCACCUAACUGAUCUUGAAAACCACCAAGGAUGGAAUGUGCACAAUCUCCUGGCCUCCUGCUGGGAUGGCAUCCUAACAAGAAGGUUCCUCCUCAUGAGUUUGAACUUCUCUGGUUUCAACCUGUGCCUGUUGUCUCACCAUGAGGCUGAAUGACACAGCUGUCCAGAAGUCAUUGAAGUCAAUGGAGUCACAGGAGUCAUGGAUCAUCCAUCUUCCCUGUGGAGACAGGCUGAUAAAGUUGGCGCUGUUCAGCCUGAAGAAGGGCAGGUUCCCAAGGCACCGGGAAGGUUUUGGCUACCUUGUGGAGUCUUGUGUGCUGCAAGGAAGAGUCUGCGCCCAAGUCCCCAGGCAGGUAUGUGAGAUUAACAUGGGAACAUGCAGGUCUGCCUCCCUCCACUCCCAAAAAAACAAAAAAAGAAAACACCACCCAACUUCCCAAAGCAGCUGGGUUGGGAAGAAGUGGCCAUGUGACUUCCCUGCUAAAGGUGAGAAAGGCAAGGAUGAAACCAUCUUCCCACAGAAGAAAGGGAAAUUGGUACAGCUCCCCAAAAACUAUGCAGAGGCUUUUAUCGGUCACAGCAGGGAGUGCUGCAGGAUCUGGGUUCCU